rnacentral:lncRNA from 1 species
CCGCGGGCAGGUGGCCCGGGCGCGCGCGAGCGGCCGCCGGGUGUUAUAGCCGCCGGGCCCGGAUCGUCGCCGAAUCCCGGGGCCGAGGGAGAGGACCGCCGCCGCGCCCUCCCCCGGAGGGGGCGGCCCCCGCGGGGGGCGCCGGGGGGAACCUUCCCCCUUCUGUUCGGGCCGCCUCCGUUCCCGCGGGGCGGCCCGUUCGGGGGACGGGCCCGCCGGCCCCCGGCGCCGCUGUCCGACCGGGGCGGACUGCGCUCAGUGCGCCCCGACCGCGCGGCGCCGCCGGGCCGGGCUCGGGCCACGCCAGGGCGCCCGGGGUG